AAAAUCACAGAAUUCGGUUUUUCCAACUUGCUCAAAUCUUCAAAUUCGUGCACUUUGAUGUUAUGGGUCUGUGUUUUUACAACCCAGAACAUUAAUAGACUCCCUAUUACACUACUUUAAACAAUCAAUUGCAUCAAUUAACAUCGAAUCGAAGGAUUUCAAAAUUAGGGAAUUUCAUACCUUUUCUAGCUUCGAUUUUUGAU
rnacentral:lncRNA from 1 species